UACGGAGGGUGCAAGCGUUAUCCGGAUUCACUGGGUUUAAAGGGUGCGUAGGUGGGCAGUUAAGUCAGUGGUGAAAUCUCCGGGCUUAACCCGGAAACUGCCAUUGAUACUAUCUGUCUUGAAUGCCGUGGAGGUAAGCGGAAUAUGUCAUGUAGCGGUGAAAUGCAUAGAUAUGACACAGAACACCGAUUGCGAAGGCAGCUGACGAAACUGUAACUGACGCUGAGGCUCGAAAGCGUGGGGAUCAAACAGG
rnacentral:rRNA from 1 species